rnacentral:lncRNA from 1 species
GCACACAUUAGUAAUUAAACAUAUUAUACUUCAUUGGAUCAAUCUGAUUACAUUUUUUUCUCCUUUACUAGACCAUAUAAGGACAAGAAUUAUACUUUAGGCAUCUGGGUUUCUUCAGUGUCUAGCACAAGGCCUAAAAGAUAGAAAAUUCUCACUUUGUUGAACUGAAUGGACUUGAAUUCCCAAAAAGAUUGAAAUCUGAAAGUAAUUACUCUCUGAAGCUAUGUCCCAGGAAGCUCUAAAAUAUUGAGAUUUUUUUUUUAUUUUAAAUGUAGAGGGAACUU